AAUAGACUAACUAGGGUAGUAAUCUUAAAUAAAACCCAAUAAAUUGGCGGUCCCACAAACUUAGAGAAACUCGCUUUAUAAUCGAUAACACCCGAUAAUUUUAACUUACUUUAAAGUUUAUAUACCGCCGUUCCAGAAAUAGUUUAAAAACCAACUUCCUCUCUUUUUAGUUUUAAUAAAAAUCAGGUCAAGGUGUAGCCAAUAAGUAAGAAAAAGUAAGUUACAAUAAACAUAAUUUAAGGAUAAAAUUUUAAAUAAAACCUGGAAAAAGAAUUUAUAUGUACAUUUAAGCCAAAAACUUAAAUAGAUGUUUAUACUUGAGACGC
rnacentral:rRNA from 1 species